GACGAACGCUGGCGGCGCGCCUAACACAUGCAAGUCGAACGGAGCUGAGAGAAGCUUGCUUUUCUUAGCUUAGUGGCGAACGGGUGAGUAACGCGUGAGUAACCUGCCCUGGAGUGGGGGACAACAGUUGGAAACGACUGCUAAUACCGCAUAAGCCCACGAUCCGGCAUCGGAUUGAGGGAAAAGGAUUUAUUCGCUUCAGGAUGGACUCGCGUCCAAUUAGCUAGUUGGUGAGGUAACGGCCCACCAAGGCGACGAUUGGUAGCCGGACUGAGAGGUUGAACCGCCACAUUGGGACUGGGACACGGCCCCGACUCCUACGGGAGGCAGCAGUGGGGGAUAUUGCACAAUGGGGGAAACCCUGAUGCAGCGACGCCGCGUGGAGGAAGAAGGUUUUCGGAUUGUAAACUCCUGUCGUUAGGGACGAUAAUGACGGUACCUAACAAGAAAGCACCGGCUAACUACGUG
rnacentral:rRNA from 1 species